rnacentral:rRNA from 1 species
GACAUAGGUGGCGAACGUUAUCCGGAUUUAUUGGGCGUAAAGGAUGCGUAGAUGGUGGAAUAAGUUAUUGGUCAAAGUCAAGCUCAACUUGGCGGAAGCUGGUAAUACUAUUCUACUCGAGGAUAGGAGAGGUUGGCGGAAUUCUGUGUGGAGCGGUGAAAUGCGUAGAUAUCAGGAGGAACACCUGCGGUGUAGACGGCUUACUGGACCAUAACUGACGCUGAGGCACGAAAGCGUGGGUAGCAAACAGG